GGAAUCCGCUAAGGAGUGUGUAACAACUCACCUGCCGAAGCAACUAGCCCUGAAAAUGGAUGGCGCUGAAGCGUCGUGCCUAUACCCGGCCGUCGCGGCAGGGCGGACCCCCCUCGAAAGGGGUGCCGUUUGACGCCGCGACGAGUAGGAGGGUCGCGGCGGUGUGCGCAGAAGGGUCUGGGCUCGAGCCUGCCUGGAGCCGCCGCCGGUGCAGAUCUUGGUGGUAGUAGCAAAUACUCCAGCGAGGCCCU
rnacentral:rRNA from 2 species